GGUGGGCAACGUCUAAGGAGACUGCCGGUGACAAACCGGAGGAAGGUGGGGAUGACGUCAAGUCAUCAUGGCCCUUACGGCCUGGGCUACACACGUGCUACAAUGGUCGGUACAAAGGGUUGCCAAGCCGCGAGGUGGAGCUAAUCCCAUAAAACCGAUCGUAGUCCGGAUCGCAGUCUGCAACUCGACUGCGUGAAGUCGGAAUCGCUAGUAAUCGUGAAUCAGAAUGUCACGGUGAAUACGUUCCCGGGCCUU
rnacentral:rRNA from 1 species